rnacentral:rRNA from 1 species
AACUCUGGAACUGCCAUCAAAACUUUCAGCUAGAGUAUGAUAGAGGAAAGCAGAAUUUCUAGUGUAGAGGUGAAAUUCGUAGAUAUUAGAAAGAAUACCAACUGCGAAGGCAGCUUUCUGGAUCAUUACUGACACUGAGGAACGAAAGCAUGGGUAGCGAAGAGGAUUAGAUACCCUCGUAGUCCAUGCCGUAAACGAUGUGUGUUAGACGUUGGAAAUUUAUUUUCAGUGUCGCAGCGAAAGCAAUAAACACACCGCCUGGGGAGUACGACCGCAAGGUUAAAACUCAAAUGAAUUGACGGGGACCCGCACAAGUAGUGGAGCAUGUGGUUUAAUUCGAAGAUACGCGCAGAACCUUACCAACACUUGACAUGUUCGUCGCGACUCUAAGAGAUUAGAGUUUUCGGUUCGGCCGGACGAAACACAGGUGCUGCAUGGCUGUCGUCAGCUCGUGUCGUGGGAUGUUGGGUUAAGUCCCGCAACGAGCGCAACCCUCACUUUUAGUUGCCAUCAUUAAGUUGGGCACUCUGAAAGAACUGCCAGUGAUAAGCUGGAGGAAGGUGGGGAUGACGUCAAGUCCUCAUGGCCCUUACGUGUUGGGCUACACACGUGCUACAAUGGUAUCUACAACAGGAAGCGAAACGGCAACGUUAAGCAAAUCCCGAAAAGAUACCUCAGUUCGGAUUGCACUCUGCAACUCGAGUGCAUGAAGCUGGAAUUACUAGUAAUCGUGGAUCAGCGUGCCACGGUGAAUGCGUUCCCGGGUCUUGUACACACCGCCCGUCACACCAUGGGAGUUGGUUCUACCUUAAGGCAAGGUUUUAAACCCUUGACCACGGUAUAGUCAGCGACUGGGGUGAAGUCGUAACAAGGUAGCC